rnacentral:lncRNA from 10 species
GAACACAGCAAGCAAACACAUGCACCCAAGUAGUGCCUAGGGAACUCGAGGCUCUCCAAGUAAAAAAGGAGAGAGGGUCAGAAGAGAUGCCCAGCAGACUGCCACAUGGUAGACAAGAGUUCCCUUUCUGGUAAAAUGGCCAUUACUGUCAAGUUUUCUCAAGCAAGAAAUUCAGGAAUCUUGCCAGGGGCAAAGCUAUCCAGAUCCAAAAAUUGGGUGCAACCUAGUUUUGUGCUCCCGGAAGACAUCCAGAUGGCAAGGAAGGCGUGUAACCAAGCCCCUGAAAUAAUCGAUUCUAUGAAUAGUUGAAACAUAUCUUCUAUGGGAGGACAUGUUUGGAAAAAAUAUGAGACUCAUCGAUGCUGACCACUAUUUUUAGGCUGCUGGGUCAAGGUUUCUGAUACAUCAUCCUAUAAAGUACACUGCAAGUGGGCCCCAAGAAAGAAUAAAUACCACAGGCAAA